CCUAUCUUCAGUAGACCCUAAAGGACUUGUGUUACACUGCAACAGAUAUUAAUGAGAUUUAUUCACUAAACUACAAUCUGCAGUGAUUUGCGUGGCACAAUUAUUAUUUAUAUAGCACCAGCAAAUUCCAUAGCGCUGUACAAUGAGUGGACUAACAGACACAUAACUGUAACUAGACAAAUGGACGCACAGGAACAGAGGGAUUGGGGGCCCUGCUCAGUGAGCUUACAUGCCAGAGGGAGUGGGGAAUAGUGACACAGAGGGUAGGGGUAAUGAAAUAGGUUGCUAGAAAAGUAUUCACUGAGAACUUAA